rnacentral:rRNA from 1 species
AACGCUGGCGGUAGGCCUUAUACAUGCAAGUCGAGCGAGAAAGUAUCUUCGGAUAUGAGUAGAGCGGCGGACGGGUGAGUAACGCGUAGGAAUCUACCUAGUAGAAGGGGAUAGCCCGGGGAAACUCGGAUUAAUACCGUAUACCUCCUUUGGGAGAAAGAGGGCCUCUCUUUGAUGCUCUCGCUACUAGAUGAGCCUGCGUAAGAUUAGCUAGUUGGUGAGGUAAUGGCUCACCAAGGCGACGAUCUUUAGCUGGUCUGAGAGGACGAUCAGCCACAUUGGGACUGAGACACGGCCCAGACUCCUACGGGAGGCAGCAGUAGGGAAUAUUGGACAAUGAGCGCAAGCUUGAUCCAGCCAUACCGCGUGUGUGAAGAAGGCUUUCGGGUUGUAAAGCACUUUAAGCAGGGAGAAAAAGUUAUAGGCUAAUACCCUAUGACCGUGAUGUUACCUGCAGAAUAAGCACCGGCUAAUUCC